rnacentral:rRNA from 1 species
UACGUAGGGUGCAAGCGUUAAUCGGAAUUACUGGGCGUAAAGCGUGCGCAGGCGGUUUUGUAAGACAGGUGUGAAAUCCCCGGGCUUAACCUGGGAACUGCAUUUGUGACUGCAAGGCUGGAGUGCGGCAGAGGGGGAUGGAAUUCCGCGUGUAGCAGUGAAAUGCGUAGAUAUGCGGAGGAACACCGAUGGCGAAGGCAAUCCCCUGGGCCUGUACUGACGCUCAUGCACGAAAGCGUGGGGAGCAAACAGG